UACGGGGGGGCAAGCGUUGUUCGGAAUUACUGGGCGUAAAGGGCGCGUAGGCGGCCUUCUAAGUCGGACGUGAAAUCCCUCGGCUUAACCGAGGAACUGCGUCCGAUACUGAAAGGCUUGAAUCCGGGAGAGGGAUGUGGAAUUCCAGGUGUAGCGGUGAAAGUGCGUAGAUAUCAGGAGGAACACCGGUGGCGAAGGCGGGUCCUCUGGGCCGAUACUGACGCUGAGGAGCGAAAGCGUGGGGAGCGAACAGG
rnacentral:rRNA from 1 species